GGUUUCCGUAGGUGAACCUGCGGAAAGGAUCAUUACACUCAGUAGUUUUCUACUGGUCUGGGGAGGUAAAAGUAUUAUCUCGGCUCCUGGCCCCGUUAGUAUGAGUACCCUCUCUUGAUAUACCCUUGUUUUUAUGCGUACCCAAGUUUCCUUGGCUGGUUUUGCUAGCCAAAUGGAUAAUCUUAUAACCCUUUUAAUUUUCAAUCAGCGUCUGAAUAAUUUUAAUAAUUACAACUUUCAACAACGGAUCUCUUGGUUCUGGCAUCGAUGAAGAACGCAGCGAAAUGCGAUAAGUAGUGUGAAUUGCAGAAUUCAGUGAAUCAUCGAAUCUUUGAACGCACAUUGCGCCCCUUGGUAUUCCAUGGGGCAUGCCUGUUCGAGCGUCAUUUGUACCCUCAAGCCUUGCUUGGUGUUGGGUGUUUGUCUGGCUCUUUUGCUUGGACUCGCCCUAAAAUUAUUGGCAGCCAGUGUAUUGGUUUUGAAGCGCAGCACAAUUUGCAAUUCUCCCCAGAUAUACAGGCACCCAAGAAGCAAUUUCCACUUUUGACCUCGGAUCAGGUAGGGAUACCCGCUGAACUUAAGCAUACANNNAAAGCCGGAAGNAAA
rnacentral:rRNA from 1 species